AACGAACGCUGGCGGCAGGCCUAACACAUGCAAGUCGAACGGACCUUUCGGGGGUUAGUGGCGGACGGGUGAGUAACGCGUGGGAAUAUGCCCUUCGGUUCGGAAUAGCCUCGGGAAACUGGGAGUAAUACCGGAUACGGUCUACGGACGAAAGAUUUAUCGCCGAAGGAUUAGCCCGCGUUGGAUUAGGUAGUUGGUGGGGUAAUGGCCUACCAAGCCGACGAUCCAUAGCUGGUUUGAGAGGAUGAUCAGCCACACUGGGACUGAGACACGGCCCAGACUCCUACGGGAGGCAGCAGUGGGGAAUCUUAGACAAUGGGGGAAACCCGUACGAUCUAGCCAUGCCGCGUGAUUGA
rnacentral:rRNA from 1 species